UGUCAACUCGCGGACUCGCUACAGACGCUGGGCGGAUUCGCUGACUGAACGCGCCUAUUUUCAACCGUCACCAUCACUGAAUCAUUCUCCACAGUGGAAAAGCUGCCUUCAGUUCAGCGAGGACGGAACACGCUUACAGUUCGUUCAAGUGCCACCAGUUUUUUUGGAGUUUCAUCUUUUCCAUUCAUCUGAGUAAGCUUACAGUUCGUUCAAGUGCCACCAGUCUGGUUUUGGAGUUUCAUCUAUUCCAUUCAUCUGAGUAAAGUGCUGUGAGAAAGAGCCAUGUCUCCCGUGCCGCCACCAAUGACGAGAUUACGAAGAAUGUAAUACGGUGGUUCAACCUGGCAGCAGAUAGGGGAAGCUCAAGGAGCCGUCCCACUGUCAGCAUCCUGACCCAACAGUA